rnacentral:rRNA from 1 species
CAGUAGCCACGGUAAUACGAGGGGAGCUAGCGUUGUUCGGAAUUACUGGGCGUAAAGCGCGCGUAGGCGGCUUUUUAAGUCAGAGGUGAAAGCCCGGGGCUCAACCCCGGAAUUGCCUUUGAAACUGGAAAGCUAGAAUCUUGGAGAGGUCAGUGGAAUUCCGAGUGUAGAGGUGAAAUUCGUAGAUAUUCGGAAGAACACCAGUGGCGAAGGCGACUGACUGGACAAGUGUUGACGCUGAGGUGCGAAAGCGUGGGGAGCAAACAGGAUUAGAUACCCGCGUAGUCCCUGUCUCUUAUAC